UGAAAGCAUUACGGACGUGGAGGGCCAC
rnacentral:sRNA from 1 species